rnacentral:rRNA from 1 species
AAUGCGGGAAACCGUGAUARGGGAACUCCGAGUGCCCGUUAAAUCGGGCUGUCCAUCAGUUUAAAAAACUGGUGAAGAAAGGGCCGGGCAAGACCGGUGCCAGCCGCCGCGGUAAUACCGGCGGCUCGAGUGGUGGCCACUAUUACUGGGCUUAAAGCGUUCGUAGCUGGUUUGUUAAGUCUYUGGGGAAAUCUUCCGGCUUAACCGGAAGGCGUYUCAGGGAUACUGGCAGACUAGGGACCGGAAGAGGUGAGGGGUACUCCAGGGGUAGGAGUGAAAUCCUGUAAUCCUUGGGGGACCACCUGUGGCGAAGGCGCCUCACCAGAACGGCUCCGACAGUGAGGGACGAAAGCUGGGGGAGCAAACCGGAUUAGAUACCCGGGUAGUCCCAGCCGUAAACGAUGUGCGUUAGGUGUAUCGGUGACCACGAGUCACCGAGGUGCCGAAGAGAAAUCGUGAAACGUACCGCCUGGGAAGUACGGUCGCAAGGCUGAAACUUAAAGGAAUUGGCGGGGGAGCACA